AUUUAGAUUAAUAUUCCAGAGGUAUAAAAUUAGAGGUCAGAAAUUUUAUUGAAUUUGCACCACUAAAUUAUUCAUUGUCUAAUAUUAAAUACCGAAAAAUAAGUGUUAAUAUAUUUUAGAGUUAAAAAAUGUUAUCACAUUGGGGACGCCAGUAUAGAUUGAAAUCUGAGAAUUUACCAGAACAUUUUCAAAAGUUCCCCCUCCAUGGGCAGACAAAGUUGAAUAAAAAAAUAAAUUUUCAAAA